GGCAACGGAUAAUCAGGUAGCGGCUGUGGGGCUCAGCACGGCUCCCCACCCGCCGCGCCGCUCGGCCUCGUAAUUAGAAGCCUCCACACUCCGCUGCAUAAAGGCAGAUUGCAAGGACAGCGUGAAGCCCUUGUUUGAAGCUGGGGGCACAAAGAUUGCAGUGCCUGUGAUGGAUGGAGACAAAGACUCCGAUACUGGAACGCUUCCAGCAAGCCUCCGAAUCCUCGCUGCGUUUCUGAUGGACAUUUUCAGGAUUUCUUAGAGCGGCAAAGGAGCAAAGGAAAACUGACACUUCAGUGUACCCCAGCUACAGGAGGGGAAGAGGAAGAAAAGGAUGGAGGACAGGAUCUUUGGGUGAGAAAAACCUAAGAGAGUGAAUGAAGGAAGGGUCAGUCACGUAGCCUCUUCUAAAACAGUCGCUGACUUGUAUUUUACCCUAAUUUCACCACCUUUCUGCAUCUCCUGGGCUGCCACUGUGGCUUGUUUGUGGGUUACUCUGCACCCGACCUUACCCUGCAGAGCUGCAGCUUCUCGUCCCCACAGCAGCAGCAAAGCAAACGGGAGAAAACCAAACAGCUCAGGCAACUUGAGCACAGCACAGGAACGCACUGACAAAAAGCAGCAAAGCCAAAAGUGCUUGAAUAAUAAAACAGAGGAAGAAAAACCACCAGAGCCACCCAGAAGCUGUCAACUGCCAGACAGACAAGCUCCCUUGGAAAGAGCACUGAAGGCAGGUUCAGGGAAGAGCAAUAUCCAUAAGGCAACACAGUGCCAGUGAUUUUUUUCCUCAGUUUAUAAUGACAAGUUAACAGGGGCUGGAAGAGAACAAAACAUGGAAGAUUUUCAUAGGAGAAAUCAGGACACCCUGCCAAGGACGGCUGCCCUGAACUCGAGUUAUCCCUGAACUCACAUUUGUAGGCACUUAAAACCUUAGCAAGAUCAUUAACAAGCUAAUAAGAACCACCAGCAAAAGGAGCAUAACCUGGACUCGCUAAUAUGUUUUGUUCUGAAUGAUGAAAGGGCAAAAGCAUCCAGACACUCAGUUGCUGCAGCUAAAAAAAAAUAACAAAAGAUGCUGUGAUUCACAUUGUCUCCUACCCUGCUCUUUCCAAUGCUGUUACAUUAAAGUGGUCUCCAUCCUAUCCUCCAGUCUGUCUUGUGUUCUCCCUGCUGUUCAAAAAGCACAGUAAGUGCUACAACAUCCUCCAGAAAAAUGGACUGUAACAGAUGCUGUACAGCUCGGCUUAAGAAUUUCCUUUGUCUCUGCAUGGACAAGAGCCCCUGAGCUCCAUGAGCAGCCCACUCUUCUCUGGAAAUCAGCAGAUUCAACAGCAUCACAGGAGCAAAGCAACCUCACUGAGUUGGAUCUGCAAGGACAUUCUCUCCAGACUCAUGACUUUUUCCCAUUCACCAGGGUUUGAGGGGAUAAAGGGUGGUCCUGAUUUGGCAGUCCAUGCCAACCUUGAACUCUCUAGUCUUGGUUUUGCUCUGGUUGGCUGCAUUCAGGGAAAAACCUGUUUAUGCCUUCCCUCUGAAAUGAUUUUAGAAGCUUCAGAUCCACUUUUGUGCUGGUUGUAUCACGUAUUUCAGCAAAGAGGAGCAUGGUUUCAUCACACAGUUUUUUCUGCAGCAAGAUGUGUAGUCACCUGAACAAAAUCUUUUCACCAGAUCUUUCUGGGGAACAGAUGAUGAAUACAAAUUUGGGGAACUACAAAGAGGUAAGCUGUAGGGAGCUUUUCAAUGUUUAAAAGCUGAUCCAAAUCUGUGACAUUUAGAAAGUACACAAAACCACUUUCACUUCUUUCAACUUCCCAUGCAACACGCUCGCUGCAAACAAGUGUUUGCACAAGCUGCUUCCUAGAUCUUAAAUUUAUUUAAGAAAGCACCUCUGCCAGCACCUUUCCUCCAGCCCAGUUCACUCCCUACAGCUCAGCUCCCAGGAGGACAUGCAGUAAAUCCCAUCAAUGCAGUGGGAGAGCACAGCCUGACCAUGGAGCACACGGCCCGGUUCGGCACGGCCACGAGAAAGGCUCCUGCCCGUGGUGGAGGAGGAGCAAUCCCUUUCUCCUAAGCCCUGGCCUGUGGUCUCCCAGCCUCCCAGAAGAGCAGGCCUUCCCAUUUCCCUGCCUGUGCUGCCAGCAGUGAAGCCAUGCAGACAGAGCUGGCACGGCUCCUGGUGACCCUGGAGAUGGGGCUCCUCGCUGCAAACGGCAUCAGGCGGAGCUGGAUGAGAUCAGACAUGGAGGGGAAUAGAAGGGGAACAAGAUUCCAGAGGGCUCCUCUGCCUCUGAGUCGUGUUACUGUUGACUCCUUUAUUGUGAUUAACUCCUUGACAUCCUCCUUCCGUGACAAGUGGGGGAGGACAGACUGAACUUGGUGAUUAAUUUAUCAGUGAAUUACCUCCUUCCCUUUCAAACCUCGCCCCCACUGAUGAUCUUUAUGGCUUAGCUCUAUCUUAUGAGAGGGUUUACAGCUAGAUACAGGUUUGACAGUUUUCAUUUCAUCACUGAGAAACUCUGUUUGGAGCAUUCCACGUUCCUUACACAGACGUAGUGGUAACACCAUCUGCAAGCUUCAGCCCACCCCACAAGCCCUGUAUGAGGAAAAGAAAUCCUCUCCUCCUCAACCUCUUGCUCAAAUGACAGUAAUUAGGGAACCUCAUCACUCUAGACCUGGAGAGGGAGGGGACGUUCACGGUAAUUGGAGACAUUACACGAAGCCACACUGUGCUUAUAAAACAAAAAAAAAAGAAAAACCACACAGAGAAAAAACAAGCCCCUUUCCCCCCAACCUGGUUGGCAUUUCCUAAAUAAACUGCCUUUAUUCAGGCA